rnacentral:rRNA from 1 species
UACGUAGGGUGCGAGCGUUGUCCGGAAUUAUUGGGCGUAAAGAGCUUGUAGGCGGUUUGUCGCGUCUGCCGUGAAAAUUCGAGGCUCAACCUCGAACUUGCGGUGGGUACGGGCAGACUAGAGUGUGGUAGGGGAGACUGGAAUUCCUGGUGUAGCGGUGAAAUGCGCAGAUAUCAGGAGGAACACCGGUGGCGAAGGCGGGUCUCUGGGCCGGUACCGACGCUGAGGAGCGAAAGCGUGGGGAGCGAACAGG